rnacentral:misc_RNA from 1 species
AUUCAAAUAAUAUCCAGCUGCGUGCAAAGGUCGAUGGAGUUGGCUUUCCCAUCGUUUAUCAAUAAUCUCAAAAAUUGUCUUGUAUUUUUCUUCAUUUUCAUCAAAUGACUUUGCAAUUGCUUCUUUAGCCCUAUCCAUCGCCUCAUAAAUAUAUCCCAUUGCAGGCAUUUUCUCACCAUCAACUAAUCUAAGCACACGAACUAAUGGACCAAAUAUCUUUAAGAUAUAAAC